rnacentral:rRNA from 1 species
GCGUUAAUCUGCGGUCGAGAUUCUACGGGAGGCAGCAGUGGGGAAUAUUGGACAAUGGGGGAAACCCUGAUCCAGCCAUGCCGCGUGUGUGAAGAAGGCCUUUUGGUUGUAAAGCACUUUAAGCAGUGAAGAAGACUCUUCGGUUAAUACCCGGAGACGAUGACAUUAGCUGCAGAAUAAGCACCGGCUAACUCUGUGCCAGCAGCCGCGGUAAUACAGAGGGUGCAAGCGUUAAUCGGAAUUACUGGGCGUAAAGCGAGCGUAGGUGGCUUGAUAAGUCAGAUGUGAAAUCCCCGGGCUUAACCUGGGAACUGCAUCUGAAACUGUUAGGCUAGAGUAGGUGAGAGGGAAGUAGAAUUUCAGGUGUAGCGGUGAAAUGCGUAGAGAUCUGAAGGAAUACCGAUGGCGAAGGCAGCUUCCUGGCAUCAUACUGACACUGAGGCUCGAAAGCGUGGGUAGCAAACAGGAUUAGAUACCCUGGUAGUCCACGCCGUAAACGAUGUCUACUAGUCGUUGGGUCCCUUGAGGACUUAGUGACGCAGCUAACGCAAUAAGUAGACCGCCUGGGGAGUACGGCCGCAAGGUUAAAACUCAAAUGAAUUGACGG